GGCGGCGGAGGGCAGUGAUGGGAGUUAGCGGCCGCGGAAGCUCGCACCGGAGCCCUCACAGCACGGGUGAUAAAUAGCCAAGGAUUUAAAUGAUGGAAAGUCGGAGCUGGAGAACUAGAACACUGAAAAUGCUGACCACUUAAAGAAAUCGGUAUCUUCAGGACAUUAGAGCUGUUCCAGGUGUUACUUACUCCACCACCUAUUUUUUGCCCUCUCUUAACCCUGGAAGUUACCUCUAUUCCCUUCUACGAGGACUUUCUGAAUAAGAGAUUUACGGAUACCAGUAUGCAUGGGAAGGAACUGAAGGCAAAAAUCAACAGUCAUUUUACUUUGAAAAUGUCCAAGUAAGUGAUACUAAAUGAUAACUGAGCACUAGGAUUUUUAUAACUUCCUGUGGUCAUCCUAACAGCAUCGUAUUUGGAGAUUUUGCAGAUGACACUGGUCUAAGAUUCACUGGUCGUGAGAGGGGUGAACCUCCCUGACUCUGAAUGGUAACCCUGGUGGGAGCACCGCAUUACGGACAAAGAAUGCAGAUAGCAAGUACUUGGAUGCUGUCUUUCUAUGUGCCAACAUAAGCUUUUUAUUUAAGUUUUAAAACACU